CUCUCUUGCUGCUUUAAAAUUCUCUCUUUAUCACUACUUUUUGCUAUUUUAAUUAUGUGUCCUGGUAUGGACCUCCUUAGUUUCAUUUUGUUUGGAAUUC